AGAGUUUGAUCAUGGCUCAGAUUGAACGCUGGCGGCAGGCCUAACACAUGCAAGUCGAGCGGAUGAAGGGAGCUUGCUCCUGGAUUCAGCGGCGGACGGGUGAGUAAUGCCUAGGAAUCUGCCUGGUAGUGGGGGAUAACGUCCGGAAACGGGCGCUAAUACCGCAUACGUCCUGAGGGAGAAAGUGGGGGAUCUUCGGACCUCACGCUAUCAGAUGAGCCUAGGUCGGAUUAGCUAGUUGGUGGGGUAAAGGCCUACCAAGGCGACGAUCCGUAACUGGUCUGAGAGGAUGAUCAGUCACACUGGAACUGAGACGCGGUCCAGACUCCUACGGGAGGCAGCAGUGGGGAAUAUUGGACAAUGGGCGAAAGCCUGAUCCAGCCAUGCCGCGUGUGUGAAGAAGGUCUUCGGAUUGUAAAGCACUUUAAGUUGGGAGGAAGGGCAGUAAGUUAAUACCUUGCUGUUUUGACGUUACCAACAGAAUAAGCACCGGCUAACUUCGUGCCAGCAGCCGCGGUAAUACGAAGGGUGCAAGCGUUAAUCGGAAUUACUGGGCGUAAAGCGCGCGUAGGUGGUUCAGCAAGUUGGAUGUGAAAUCCCCGGGCUCAACCUGGGAACUGCAUCCAAAACUACUGAGCUAGAGUACGGUAGAGGGUGGUGGAAUUUCCUGUGUAGCGGUGAAAUGCGUAGAUAUAGGAAGGAACACCAGUGGCGAAGGCGACCACCUGGACUGAUACUGACACUGAGGUGCGAAAGCGUGGGGGGCAAACAGGAUUAGAUACCCUGGUAGUCCACGCCGUAAACGAUGUCGACUAGCCGUUGGGAUCCUUGAGAUCUUAGUGGCGCAGCUAACGCGAUAAGUCGACCGCCUGGGGAGUACGGCCGCAAGGUUAAAACUCAAAUGAAUUGACGGGGGCCCGCACAAGCGGUGGAGCAUGUGGUUUAAUUCGAAGCAACGCGAAGAACCUUACCUGGCCUUGACAUGCUGAGAACUUUCCAGAGAUGGAUUGGUGCCUUCGGGAACUCAGACACAGGUGCUGCAUGGCUGUCGUCAGCUCGUGUCGUGAGAUGUUGGGUUAAGUCCCGUAACGAGCGCAACCCUUGUCCUUAGUUACCAGCACCUCGGGUGGGCACUCUAAGGAGACUGCCGGUGACAAACCGGGGGAAGGUGGGGAUGACGUCAAGUCAUCAUGGCCCUUACGGCCAGGGCUACACACGUGCUACAAUGGUCGGUACAAAGGGUUGCCAAGCCGCGAGGUGGAGCUAAUCCCAUAAAACCGAUCGUAGUCCGGAUCGCAGUCUGCAACUCGACUGCGUGAAGUCGGAAUCGCUAGUAAUCGUGAAUCAGAAUGUCACGGUGAAUACGUUCCCGGGCCUUGUACACACCGCCCGUCACACCAUGGGAGUGGGUUGCUCCAGAAGUAGCUAGUCUAACCGCAAGGGGGACGGUUACCACGGAGUGAUUCAUGACUGGGGUGAAGUCGUAACAAGGUAGCCGUAGGGGAACCUGCGGCUG
rnacentral:rRNA from 1 species